GUUGGCAUUGGAGUUGUAGAGUGGCGAGCCAGCGUCUUGCCCCGAAGGCCAGCCCACUGUUGACGAUGUUUCGGUACAUUGUGUGGACUGUGCUCUUCUCGCAUUCCAUGUGCUCCACCCAUGUUACCUAACGACACCAAUUGGCCAUUGGAAGUAUCUUGAAUAAUGCAGCCUGAGGGACGUUUUCUGCAAUUGAGGAGAGAAGCCUCAGUACUGUCCUGCACUUUGUCUAUGGAUACAUCAACGAUGGCCCACUCUUCUUCCUUUAGUUGCUUGCAAUACCUCACAAAAUACACUUCUCUACUCCCCACCAUAGGUGUCAGCAUUUGCACCUCGCUGAACAUCUGCACUCGUCUCAUCAAUACAUUAUAUAUUAGUGUUUUUUACUAUAAAUAAAACAAACCACACAUAUGAUAUAUUCACGUAUUCAUGUAUUAUAAUAUAGCGUGUGUAAGCAGAUUUAUAGUGCCUGCCGCCCUGUAAUAUCCAAAAUCCCAGCCCUUCGUUUGGGGGAAGCUGAAAUGAAACUUAGAUUUUGGGCAUCGGGACAGUAGAAAUGGGCAGCAAACAACACCCCGAGUCUUA